rnacentral:misc_RNA from 1 species
UUGAUCAGGAUUUCCGACACAAUGUUUCUUUGUUGCAUCAUCCUUAUCCUUGCAGUCAUCAGAUGAAACACCAGGAAAGCUAUCAGGAAAGACAUGGGGUGAGUAAGGGGCAAAUAUCUGUUUCACUUGGCAAAAUUUGAUACCUUCAACAAUCUUGUUCAUUUCUUCAAAAUAUCCAUCAUGGCUAACAAUAAGUAAUGUCUCACUUAUCCCCUCUACCUUUGACAAGCUCUCCACAACUACUUUAAGAUAUUUGGGCCUAUUAUGAACAUAUAGGACAAUGGUUAUAUGAUCCUUAGCUAAAUUUGGAUAUAGAUCUGUAUUCCUUGGGGGUAACUGGUUAAGCUUCUCCAAUUGAAUUGACAAUUCAGUAUGUUUUGGGAGAUUGAGUAUUGCCGCAUAAUCUGAAUAAUUAUAACUUGGUCUCAAGUCUUCAUGACGUUCAGUUAAAUCGUGUGGCACAUAUUCUGAAACUGAAUUUGUUCGAAGUAGAAUGAUCAGUAGUAAAACCCCCAAUACUGUAACUAGAGCCAGAGAUACAAAUCGGCGAAAAGCCCCAUCCUUAAAGCGGUGUCUCUUGCCAUUAGUAGCCAUAACA